rnacentral:RNase_P_RNA from 2 species
UAGGGUAGUGGCUUAACAGCAGGUAGAACCCAUCAAAAACAACGGUUUCAAAACCAUUUUUUUGCUGGUUCUGCUUAGGAAAGUCCGCCCACCAUUAGACAGGUGACUAUCGGAAGGUAGCUGGCGAAAGCUAGGGCAACGGCUCAGAAACGAGACCACCUAUGGAUAGGAAUGAUGGUUCCGAAGCAUUUUGGUAACAAUUUGCGAGCUAACGACCAGACCAAUAACCCAUAGGAAAGGGUGAAACGGCGAGUCCUCACCGGUGCAAGUCCUUUGAGACGCUAAGUAGAAUGUUAAGCACAAGCCAUCCUGGUCUGACCAGGGGUUUGACAAAAGGCGGCUUAUAGCUACUCUA